CCGAGUUUACACUCCCAAACCCAUGUGAACAUACCUAUCGUUGCUUCGGCGGGACCGCCCCGGCGCCAUGCGCGCCGGAACCAGGCACCCGCCGCAAGACCCUAAACUCUUGUUUUAUUCAGUAUUCUUCUGAGUGGCCGCAAGGCAAUAAAUAAAUUA
rnacentral:misc_RNA from 1 species